AAGUGUUGACUGCCACAAAGGAAGGAUUUUUUCUUGGAAAUCCUCUCCAUUAGCUUACUUGGAGAGCCCAAGUCCUUGGAAAAGACUCAGCGCUCUGCUUUUACUGUUGUAAAUGGAUCGUUCCAUCCAGAAGAUGGCGCUGUCUGCAUUUACUUCCAAAUUACUUACCACAGAAAAAAAAAUUCUAUCCAAUUCAACCUUGAGUGUGGUAAUUCACUUCUGUGCAGGAUCGCAGAACACAUGACAAGCUGGGUCGUAAACAUCCAUGGAAUUGCUGUUUACCUGUAGUCAGUAAUCACAACUUUCUGAUCAGCCUCUCAGGCCAAACAGUCCCAGCAAUCUCAAGGAUUACUUACAUGUCUUAUGUUGUGUACCAUUAAUCAUCUUGGUGAUUGCCAUCAAAUGAAAUGAGCAAAUGAAAUGUGAACCUCCACGUCUCUCAUAUUGCUCUAGUGUUAUAAUUCUGCAAUAUAAAAUUUACUUUUAAUAUAUGUAUGAUAUAUAGCUCUAUACUGUGCGCACAUUCUCUUACUGUAUUGACCAUAGCACUGUUUUCUUGAACUUUUUGAGAGUUAAAAUAAAAAUCCAGAGCAAUAUUACUUCUUAGAAAUGAAGAUUUGUGGAAUUGUGAAAUUAAAGUAUAUGUUAUCCAUAUCAGAAUACAUUUGUAGUUUCUUGGCUAAAAUGAAAAAGUUAGCAUAUUUGUAUUAAAAAAAAAAAAAAGGUUGAAGUAAAUGAGGAAUUUUUUCCCCUUUUCUUUAAAACUUUUUUUUUUCUCCACGAGGUUGAUCUGAUUUGAAAAAUAAACACUUCUGUCUUCCAAGUGAAAUAUUUUAUUAAGCUUAAGUGUGAAUGAGUUUUUCCAGUAUUAUACUUAUCAAUAAAAAUUCAGAUUUUAUGAAAUAAUUAAAGCAACAGCUAUCAGAACAUUGCUUCUGUUUAUUUUGACAGUAAGUAGGAACACUUAUUUUACACAGGAAAAAGAUUUCCCAAUUUAGAAGAAAAAAAUAUUUGUAAUUCAUAAUUAUACCAAUUCAAAAAAUAAACUUGUAGAAAUAAACCACU
ensembl:lncRNA